rnacentral:rRNA from 1 species
CCUACGGGGGGCUGCAGUGGGGACUAUUGCACAAUGGGGGAAACCCUGAUGCAGCGACGCCGCGUGAGUGAAGCAGUAUUUCGGUAUGUAAAGCUCUAUCAGCAGGAACGAGACAAGACGGUACCUGACUAAGAAGCCCCGGCUAACUACGUGCCAGCAGCAGCGGUAAUACGUAGGGGGCAAGCGUUAUCCGGAUUUACUGGGGGUAAAGGGAGCGUAGACGGCGGUGCAAGCCAGAUGUGAAAGCCCGGGGCUCAACCCCGGGACUGCAUUUGGAACUGUGCUGCUAGAGUGUCGGAGAGGCAGGCGGAAUUCCUAGUGUAGCGGUGAAAUGCGUAGAUAUUAGGAGGAACACCAGUGGCGAAGGCGGCCUGCUGGACGAUGACUGACGUUGAGGCUCGAAAGCGUGGGGAGCAAACAGGAUUAGAUACCCUAGUAGUC